rnacentral:ribozyme from 14 species
GAAAAAACAAGACGAAGAAAAAGAGGACAAGAAGGAAACCAACGAGGAUGGUUCGAAUUUUUCAUUUCUUUUAAAUCCAU